rnacentral:rRNA from 1 species
CUCGCCUUCUGCCAGAGAUCUGGGGGUUCCCAGUUCUGGCAAUCCACCAUACAACUCCUACCGAUCCUUUGCAUCGGCACCUCGAUCGCGGUUGGAUCUGGCACCUCCACGAUGUUCUGGUUUGAUAGAUGGGCUGGAGACCUUCCCCUUGCUGCUCGUUUUCCCGACCUAUUCUCUAUCGCGAUCGACCCGCGGAACUCGGUCACGACGGCCCUUAUUGACUUAGGGCAACUCGCGUUCUGGAGAGCUUUUGGCCCAGCUGAGAAUGCGGACUGGCAUGAGCUGCUGGAUUGCAUCGCGCUGCACGAGCCUGAUCUCGAGGUUGGAGAAGACCGUGCCAGGUGGCGUCUAGAGCCAUCUGGGCAAUUCUCCACUAAAUCUCUAUACCAGGCCAUCGCUCCCUCGCUGGGUCAUGAGGCCCUCACUUCCUUUUGGGAUAUUCGGCUCCCUUUGAAGAUUAGGAUAUUCUUGUGGCAGUCGAUUCGCGGCCGCCUCCCAUCCGGCAUGGAGGUCCUAAAGCGCAACGGCCCAGGGGAUGGGCGUUGCCCGCUCUGCGGGCCUGAAGAAGAUUCGAACCAUAUCUUCUUCACCUGCGUGUCUGCGCAGUUCCUUUGGAGUUGUUUCCGCGAAAUAAUGGGUGGAAGUUGA